CCCACAUUGCAAUCAGACAGAGGAGGAUCUCCCAGUUGACCUUACCCAGCUCUUCAAUUCCACCAGAGAUGGCCAGCACUCUGCGCCUGGACAGCGGGUGUUGUCGCAGGUGGACCAGGGCAGCUGGGAGCUGAAGGAGAACACCAGGUACAACAGUGCCCAGGCCAGAAGAAUGAUGUAACACAUGCAACUGUACACCAAAAUCAGCUGACUUGCAUAGCCAAUACCUGACCAGGGAAUACAGACAGAAUCCAUAGAGCUACACUAUAUGGACAAAAGUAUUGGGACAGCCCUCCUAAUUGUUGUAGAGUUCAUUACCAACAAGUGGAUAAAUUAAGCACAUAACCUUGCAGUCUUGAUAGACAAACACUGGCAGUAGAAUGCAUCGUACUGAAGAACUCAGUGACUUUAAACGUGGUUCUGGAAGCAACAUCAGCACAAGAACUGUUUGUCAGGAGCUUCACGAAAUGGGUUUCCAUGGCUGAGCAGCUGCACACAAGUCUAAGAUCAAAAUACACAAUGCCAGGCGUCGGAUGGAGUGGAGUAAAGUGCCGCCACUGGACUCGGUAACACUUUACAAUACUGUUUUGUAUUUAAUAAGUAACUAAUCAGGAACUAAGCGAACGAAUGAGUGGUUCUGUAUUAACACUUAUGUAACUACCCUUAACUACAAAGGAAGACUAGUUAACUACUUAGUAGGUAAUAGUAAACUAAUGUUUAGAAUAAUUCACUAUUAACUAAACAAUAAUUACUGAGUCUUAUAGAGAAUUACUUAGUAACUAUGGUUUUUUAGAAUAACUACUCAUAAAUUACCGAUCAAUUCAACAUUAAUUGCUCAAUAGCUGAGUCUUAUAAGGUUCCUGCUGAAUUACUAACUGAACAGUGUGAACUGUAUUCCAACACUUCUAACAGUAGUGAAAUACACUACACAGUGUGCAGUCUCUAAAAUAUAAUGGAUUAUACCCUCCAUUUCUAUUCACAGAAACAGGUAUCCUCUGGGGGCAUUAAACCACACUGUGCUGA